rnacentral:rRNA from 1 species
GCUUGCUGGGGUGCUCGAGUGGCGAACGGGUGAGUAACACGUAGGUGAUCUGCCUUUCACUUCGGGAUAAGCUUGGGAAACUGGGUCUAAUACCGGAUAUUCACKRYRCCGUGGUUGGUGUGGUGGAAAGCUUUUGCGGUGGGAGAUGAGCUUGCGGCCUAUCAGCUUGUUGGUGGGGUAAUGGCCUACCAAGGCGGCGACGGGUAGCCGGCCUGAGAGGGUGUGCGGCCACAUUGGGACUGAGAUACGGCCCAGACUCCUACGGGAGGCAGCAGUGGGGAAUUUUGCACAAUGGGCGGAAGCCUGAUGCAGCGACGCCGUGUGGGGGAUGAAGGCCUUCGGGUUGUAAACUCCUUUCGUCAGGGACGAAGUUUGUUUGACGGUACCUGGAUAAGAAGCACCGGCUAACUACGUGCCAGCAGCCGCGGUAAUACGUAGGGUGCGAGCGUUGUCCGGAUUUACUGGGCGUAAAGGGCUCGUAGGUGGUGUGUUGCGUCGUCUGUGUAAUCCAGGGGCUUAACUUUUGGUUGGCAGGCGAUACGGGCAUUGCUUGAGUGCUGUAGGGGAGACUGGAAUUCCUGGUGUAGCGGUGAAAUGCGCAGAUAUCAGGAGGAACACCGAUGGCGAAGGCAGGUCUCUGGGCAGUUACUGACGCUGAGGAGCGAGAGCAUGGGUAGCGAACAGGAUUAGAUACCCU